GGGGGUGUAGCUCAGUGGUAGAGCACUUGCCUAACAUGCACAAGGUUCUGGGUUCCAUUCCCCGUACCACCA
rnacentral:tRNA from 1 species